AGGAUUUUGUGAAAAUGCUUUGUGUUUGUGGAUUUAUCAUGCAGAACAAAACCUUUGUUUUUAUUCACAGGUUAGACACACUCUCUAUAUAGAAUCUAUGAAGGGACAUUUCUGGGUUUUUUUGAGGCCUAUGGUGAAAAAUGGAAUAUCUCAGGCAGCUCAGGAUGAAUAAGGCAGUCACCAAGAGGGGCAGGGUGGCCAGCAGCAGGGAAGGGCAUUGUGAGCCACUGGAUGGGCAUUGUGAGCCACUAGCCUGACUUUGUUGUUUCCUAGUAACCAGAUGACAUAGGAGGCUUUGUGGGUGAAAGUCAUCAGCCAGGGCCAGCAGCCUUCAGUCAGAAGCUGGUAGUGGGAGGAGGAAGAGCUCUGACGACUCUCAUAGAAGUGUUCGUGCCCUUGGCACUUGCUCUGUUGCUUGACUUUUUCUUUCUUUUCUUUUCUUUUUUUAUUUUGUGUGUUUCUUUUUUUUUUUUUUUUUUUUGGUUUUUUUUUUUUGUUGUUUUGUUUUUUUGUUUUUUUUUAUUUUAGUGGUGGUUGUACAUGUGAAGAACAUACAAGAUUGUUGCAUAGUCCCCUUUUAGGUCAUCCAUGGGGAAUUGCCUAGGCUCCAAGGAUGGCCUAGGUUGUGCCUACUGCAUGCAGGCAGUGCUGUUGUGUUGUGAGACUCAGGUAGUGGAUCCUACACAAAUAGCAACCACCACUGAAGAGCCUGCCAUAUUACAUUCUGGAGUGGCAGAAGACCAGCAUGUGCAGCCCAUCAAGCGACGCAAAGGUUUGGCUGGCCGCACCAGGAGCUGGUUAAAAAAAAAAUGGAGGAAUAGGAAAAUCUGUUGUAUUGAAAAGGAAGCUCCUGUUCAAGAACCAAAGGAGUGCAAAACUGAAAAGUUUCAGGAGACAUCACCUGACAUAGAAAAUGCUACAGAUGAAUAUCAACACACUCCUGUUGACGACUCAGAGGAGUGUACACAUGGCAGUAAGAAGGAAGAGGUUGCCUCUGACAUGGAGAAGCCAGCGGCCCAGUAUCACAACCGUCCUGUUAAGGUCUUACAAGACCUUAUCAUAGAAGACAUAGAGGAUGAGGAGCUGUUCCCUGAUGUGGAGAAGCCAGCGGCCCAGUAUCACCGCCGUCCUGUUAAGGUCUUACAAGACCUUGUCAUAGAAGACAUAGAGGAUGAGGAGCUGUUCCCUGAUGUGGAGAAGCCAGCGGCCCAGUGUCACCACCGUCCUGUUAAGGUCUUACAAGACCUUGUCAUAGAAGACAUAGAGGAUGAGGAGCUGUUCCCUGAUGUGGAGAAGCCAGCGGCCCAGUAUCACCGCCGUCCUGUUAAGGUCUUACAAGACCUUGUCAUAGAAGACAUAGAGGAUGAGGAGCUGUUCCCUGAUGUGGAGAAGCCAGCGGCCCAGUAUCACCGCCGUCCUGUUAAGGUCUUACAAGACCUUGUCAUAGAAGACAUAGAGGAUGAGGAGCUGUUCCCUGAUGUGGAGAAGCCAGUGGCCCAGUAUCACCGCCGUCCUGUUAAGGUCUUACAAGACCUUGUCAUAGAAGACAUAGAGGAUGAGGAGCUGUUCCCUGAUGUGGAGAAGCCAGUGGCCCAGUAUCACCGCCGUCCUGUUAAGGUCUUACAAGACCUUGUCAUAGAAGACAUAGAGGAUGAGGAGCUGUUCCCUGAUGUGGAGAAGCCAGCAGCCCAGUGUCACCACCGUCCUGUUGAGGUCCUGCAGGACCUCAUCUUAAAAGACACUGCAGAUGAUGAGAUUCCCCCUGACGUGGACACCGUGACAGCCCUAAAUGACCUUCCUUCUCCUGAGGAUUGUAGGAGCAUCACUUCUGAGGAUGGCAAGAGUUCAUCACUCAUUGGUUAUGUGUCUUCAAAUGACCAAGCAAGCACAGUCGGACUCAGAUCCUGGACAGGGGAAGAAGAUCUGGAGGAGGAAGUUCUCUAUAGAGCAUCCCAGGAAAGGGUGAGAAGCUGGAUCCUGGGGAGCAACUUCAAACCCCACAAAGAUGACCCCCAAGGCCAGUAGGUUUGUGUACGCCCAUCUGACCCCAGCCAUGUAGUGCCGGUGUUCCAUCUGAAGUGUGACUCUGCUGAAUCAUCAUCCAUGGCUGGGACAUCAAGGGCAUCAUCCACAGAUGGGCAUCAUCCACAGCUAGGGCAUCAUCCACUGAUGGGGUAUCAUCCACUCCUGGGGCAUCAUUUACUGCUGGGGCAUCAUCCACUCCUGGGGCAUCAUCCACAGAUGGGCAUCAUCCAUGCCUGGAGCAUCAUUCACUGCUGCGACAUCAUCCACAGCUGGGGCAUCAUCCACUGCUGGGGCAUUAUCCACUGCUGCAUUAUCAUCCACAAAUGGGCAUCAUCCAUGCCUGGGGCAUCAUCUACUGCUGUGGCAUCAUCCAUACCUGGGGCAUAAUCCACUGCUGCAUCAUCAUCCACAGAUGGGCAUCAUCCAUGCCUGGGGCAUCAUCCACUGCUGUGGCAUCAUCCAUACCUGGGGCAUCAUCCACAGAUGGGCAUCAUCCACUCCUGCGGCAUAAUCCACAGAUGGGCAUCAUCCACUCCAGGGGCAUCAUCGACAAAUGGGCAUCCACUGCAGUGGCAUUAUCGACAGAUAGGCAUCAUCCACUCCUGGGGCAUCAUGCACUGCUGUGGCAUCAUCCACAGAUGGACAUCAUCCACGCCUGGAGCAGCAUCAUCCACAGCUGGGGCAUCAUCCACUGCUGGGGCAUCAUCCUCUGCUGCGGCAUCAUCCACAGAUGGGCAUCAUCCACUGCUGGGGCAUCAUCCAUACCUGGGGCAUCCACUGCUGCGGCAUCAUCCACAGCCGGGGCAUCAUUCACUGCUGUGGUAUCAUCCACAAAUGGGCAUCAUCCACUGCUGGGGCAUCAUCCACUGCUGCAGCAUCAUCAAUACCUGGGGCAUCAUCCACUGCUGUGGCAUCAUCCACAGAUGGGCAUCAUCCACACCUGGGGUAUCAUUGACUGCUGCAGCAUCAUCCACAGAUGGGCAUCAUCCAUGCCUGAAGCAUCAACCACUGCUGGGGCAUCUUCCAUGCCUGGGGCAUCAUCCACUGCUGGGGCAUCAUCCACUACUGUGGCAUCAUCCAUAGAUGGGCAUCCACAAAUGGGGCAUCAUCCAUGCCUGGGGCAUCAUCCACUACUGCAGCAUCAUCCACAGAUGGGCAUCACCCACUGCUGUGGCAUCAUCCAUACCUGGGGCAUCCACUGCUGGAGCAUCUUCCAUGCCUGGGGCAUCAUCCACUGCUGAGACAUCAUCCACUGCUGUGGCAUCAUCAACAGAUGGGCAUCAUCCACACCUGGAGCAUGAUCCACUGCUGUGGCAUCAUCCACAGCUGGGGCAUCAUCCACUGCUGCGGCAUCACCACACCUGGGACAUCAUCCACUGCUGCAGCAUCAUCCACAGAUGGGCAUCAUCCACUCCUGGGGCAUCAUCCACUGCUGUGGCAUCAUCCACAGACAGGCAUCAUCCACUCCUGGGGCAUCAUCCACUACUGCGGCAUCAUCCACAGAUGGACAUCAUCCACGCCUGGAGCAUCAUCCACUGCUGCGGCAUCAUCCACAGCUGGGGAAUCAUCCACUGCUGCAGCAUCAUCCAUAACUGGGGCAUCAUCUACUGCUGGGGCAUCAUCCAUACCUGGGGCAUCCUCCACAGAUGGGCAUCAUCCACAAAUGAAGCAUCAUCCAUGCCUGGGGCAUCAUCCACUGCUGCAGCAUCAUCCACAGAUGGGCAUCAUUCACUGCUGCGGCAUCAUCCACAGCUGGGGCAUCAUCCAUGCCUGGGGCAUCCACUGAUGGAGCAUCUUCCAUGCCUGGGGCAUCAUCCACAACUGGGGCAUCAUCCACUGCUGGGGCAUCAUCCACACCUGGGGCAUCAUCCACUGCUGAGGCAUCAUCCACUGCUGUGGCAUCAUCCACAGAUGGGCAUCAUCCACGCCUGGAGCAGGAUCCACUGCAGUGGCAUCAUCCACAGCUGAGGCAUCAUCUACUGCUGGGGCAUCAUCCAUGCCUGGGGCAUCAUCCACUGCUGUGGCAUCAUCCACACCUGAGACAUCAUCCACUGCUGCAGCAUCAUCCACAGAUGGGCAUCAUCCACUCCUGGGGCAUCAUCCACUGCUAUGGCAUCAUCCACAGACAGGCAUCAUCCACUCCUGGGGCAUCAUCCACUACUGCGGCAUCAUCCACAGAUGGGCAUCAUCCACGCCUGGAGCAUCAUCCACUGCUGUGGCAUCAUCAACAGCUGAGGCAUCAUCCACGCCUGGGGCAUCAUCCCCUGCUGUGGCAUCAUCCACAGACAGGCAUCAUCCACUCCUGGGGUAUCAUCCACUACUGUGGCAUCAUCCACAUAUGGGCAUCAUCCACGCCUGGAGCAUCAUCCACUGCUGCGGCAUCAUCCACAGCUGUGGCAUCUUCCACUGCUGCAGCAUCAUCCAUAACUGGGGCAUCAUCCACUGCUGUGGCAUCAUCCACAGACGGGCAUCAUCCACGCCUGGAGCAUCAUCCACUGCUGUGGCAUCAUCAACAGCUGAGGCAUCAUCCACUGCUGCAGCAUCAUCCAUAACUGGGGCAUCAUCCACUGUUGGGGCAUCAUUCAUACCUGGGGCAUCAUCCACUCCUGGGGCAUCAUCCACUGCUGUGGCAUCAUCCACACCUGGGACAUCAUCCACUGCUGCAGCAUCAUCCACAGAUGGGCAUCAUCCACGCCUGGAGCAUCAUCCACUGCUGAAGCAUCAUCUACAGCUGGGGCAUCAUCCACUCCUGGGGCAUCAUCCCCUGCUGUGGCAUCAUCCACAGACAGGCAUCAUCCACUCCUGGGGUAUCAUCCACUACUGUGGCAUCAUCCACAUAUGGGCAUCAUCCACGACUGGAGCAUCAUCCACUGCUGCGGCAUCAUCCACAGCUGUGGCAUCUUCCACUGCUGCAGCAUCAUCCAUAACUGGGGCAUCAUCCACUGCUGUGGCAUCAUCCACAGACGGGCAUCAUCCACGCCUGGAGCAUCAUCCACUGCUGAAGCAUCAUCUACAGCUGGGGCAUCAUCCACUCCUGGGGCAUCAUCCCCUGCUGUGGCAUCAUCCACAGACAGGCAUCAUCCACUCCUGGGGUAUCAUCCACUACUGUGGCAUCAUCCACAUAUGGGCAUCAUCCACGCCUGGAGCAUCAUCCACUGCUGCGGCAUCAUCCACAGCUGUGGCAUCUUCCACUGCUGCAGCAUCAUCCAUAACUGGGGCAUCAUCCACUGCUGUGGCAUCAUCCACAGACGGGCAUCAUCCACUCCUGGGGCAUCAUCCACUACUGUGGCAUCAUCCACAGAUGGGCAUCAUCCAUGCCUGGAGCAUCAUCUACUGCUGUGGCAUCAUCCACGCCUAGGGCAUCCACUGCUGGAGCAUCUUCCAUGCCUGGGGCAUCAUCCAUGCCGGAGGCAUCAUCCACAAAUGGGGCAUCAUCCAUGCCUGGGGCAUUAUCCACUGCUGCAACAUCAUCCACAGAUGGGCAUCAUCCACUGCUGUGGCAUCAUCCAGAGCUGGGGCAUCAUCCACGCCUGGGGCAUCCACUGCUGGAGCAUCUUCCAUGCCUGGAGCAUCAUCCACAACUGGGGCAUCAUCCACUGCUGGGGCAUCAUCCACAGAUGGGCAUCAUUCACACCUGGGGCAUCAUCCACUGCUGGGGCAUCAUCCACGCCUGGGGCAUCAUCCACUGCUGAGGCAUCAUCCACUGCUGUGGCAUCAUCCACAGAUGGGCAUCAUCCACUGCUGCGGCAUCAUCCACACCUGGGACAUCAUCCACUGCUGCGGCAUCAUCCACAAAUGAAGCAUCAUCCAUGCCUGGGGCAUCAUCCACUGCUGCAGCAUCAUCUACAGAUGGGCGUCAUUCACUGCUGCGGCAUCAUCCACAGCUGGGGCAUCAUCCACGCCUGGGGCAUCCACUGCUGGAGCAUCUUCCAUGCCUGGGGCAUCAUCCACAACUGGGGCAUCAUCCACAGAUGGGCAUCAUUCACACCUGGGGCAUCAUCCACUGCUGAGGCAUCAUCCACUGCUGUGGCAUCAUCCACAGAUGGGCAUCAUCCAUGCCUGGAGCAUGAUCCACUGCUGUGGCAUCAUCCACACCUGGGACAUCAUCCACUGCUGCAGCAUCAUCCACAGAUGGGCAUCAUCCACUCCUGGGGCAUCAUCCACUGCUGUGGCAUCAUCCACAGACAGGCAUCAUCCACUCCUGGGGUAUCAUUCACUACUGCGGCAUCAUCCACAGAUGGACAUCAUCUACGCCUGGAGCAUCAUCCACUGCUGUGGCAUCAUCCACAGCUGGGGCAUCAUCCACUGCUGCAGUAUCAUUCAUAACUGGGGCAUCAUCCACUGCUAGGGCAUCAUCCAUACUUGGUGCAUCAUCCACAGAUGGGCAUCAUCCACAAAUGAAGCAUUAUCCAUGCCUGGGACAUCAUCCACUGCUGCAGCAUCAUCCACAGAUGUGCAUCAUCCACUCCUGGGGCAUCAUCCACUGCUGUGGCAUCAUCAACAUACAGGCAUCAUCCACUCCUGGGGCAUCAUCCACUACUGCGGCAUCAUCCACUACUGCGGCAUCAUCCACAGAUGGACAUCAUCCACGCCUGGAGCAUCAUCCACUGCUGUGGCAUCAUCCACAGCUGUGGCAUCAUCCAGAGCUGGGGCAUCAUCCAUACCUGGGGCAUCCACUGCUGGAGCAUCUUCCAUGCCUGGGGCAUCAUCCCCUGCUGGGGCAUCAUCCACUGCUGAGACAUCAUCCACUGCUGUGGCAUCAUCCACAGAUGGGCACCAUCCAUGCCUGGAGCAUGAUCCACUGCUGUGGCAUCAUCCACAGACGGGCAUCAUCCACUCCUGGGGCAUCAUCCACUGCUGUGGCAUCAUCCACAGACGGGCAUCAUCCACUCCUGGGGCAUCAUCCACUACUGUGGCAUCAUCCACAGAUGGGCAUCAUCCACUCCUGGGGCAUCAUCCACUGCUGUGGCAUCAUCCACAGACGGGCAUCAUCCACUCCUGGGGCAUCAUCCACUACUGUGGCAUCAUCCACAGAUGGGCAUCAUCCAUGCCUGGAGCAUCAUCUACUGCUGUGGCAUCAUCCACAGCUGGGGCAUCAUCCACACCUAGGGCAUCCACUGCUGGAGCAUCUUCCAUGCCUGGGGCAUCAUCCAUGCCGGAGGCAUCAUCCACAAAUGGGGCAUCAUCCACUGCUGCAGCAUCAUCCACAGAUGGGCAUCAUCCACUGCUGUGGCAUCAUCCAGAGCUGGGGCAUCAUCCACGCCUGGGGCAUCCACUGCUGGAGCAUCUUCCAUGCCUGGAGCAUCAUCCACAACUGGGGCAUCAUCCACUGCUGGGGCAUCAUCCACAGAUGGGCAUCAUUCACACCUGGGGCAUCAUCCACUGCUGGGGCAUCAUCCACGCCUGGGGCAUCAUCCACUGCUGAGGCAUCAUCCACUGCUGUGGCAUCAUCCACGCCUGGAGCAGGAUCCACUGCAGUGGCAUCAUCCACAGCUGAGGCAUCAUCUACUGCUGGGGUAUCAUCCAUGCCUGGGGCAACAUCCACUGCUGUGGCAUCAUCCACACCUGAGACAUCAUCCACUGCUGCAGCAUCAUCCACAGAUGGGCAUCAUCCACUCCUGGGGCAUCAUCCACUCCUGGCGCAUCAUCCACUACUGUGGCAUCAUCCACAGCUGAGGCAUCAUCCACUGCUGCAGCAUCAUCCAUAACUGGGGCAUCAUCCACUGCUGGGGCAUCAUCCAUACCUGGGGCAUCAUCCACUCCUGGGGCAUCAUCCACUGCUGUGGCAUCAUCCACAGAUGGGCAUCAUCCACUGCUGCAGCAUCAUCUACAGCUUGGGCAUCAUCCACUCCUGGGGCAUCAUCCCCUGCUGUGGCAUCAUCCACAGACAGGCAUCAUCCACUCCUGGGGCAUCAUCCACUACUGUGGCAUCAUCCACAGAUGGGCAUCAUCCACGCCUGGAGCAUCAUCCACUGCUGUGGCAUCAUCCACACCUGGGACAUCAUCCACUGCUGCAGCAUCAUUCACAGAUGGGCAUCAUCCACUCCUGGGGCAUCAUCCACUGCUGUGGCAUCAUCCACAGACAGGCAUCAUCCACUCCUGGGGCAUCAUUCACUACUGCGGCAUCAUCCACAGAUGGACAUCAUCUACGCCUGGAGCAUCAUCCACUGCUGCGGCAUCAUCCACAGCUGGGGCAUCAUCCACUGCUGCAGCAUCAUUCAUAACUGGGGCAUCAUCCAUACUUGGUGCAUCAUCCACAGAUAGGCAUCAUCCAUAAAUGAAGCAUCAUCCAUGCCUGGGACAUCAUCCACUGCUGGGGCAUAAUCCACAGAUGUGCAUCAUCCACUCCUGGGGCAUCAUCCACUGCUGUGGCAUCAACAGACAGGCAUCAUCCACUCCUGGGGCAUCAUCCACUACUGUGGCAUCAUCCACUACUGCGGCAUCAUCCACAGAUGGACAUCAUCCACGCCUGGAGCAUCAUCCACUGCUGCGGCAUCAUCCAAAGCUGGGGCAUCAUCCACUGCUGCAGCAUCAUCCAUAACUGGGGCAUCAUCUACUGCUGGGGAAUCAUCCAUACCUGGGGCAUCCUCCACAGAUGGGCAUCAUCCACAAAUGAAGCAUCAUCCAUGCCUGGGGCAUCAUCCACUGCUGCAGCAUCAUCCACAGAUGGGCAUCAUUCACUGCUGCGGCAUCAUCCACAGCUGGGGCAUCAUCCACGCCUGGGGCAUCCACUGAUGGAGCAUCUUCCAUGCCUGGGGCAUCAUCCACAACUGGGGCAUCAUCCACUGCUGGGGCAUCAUCCACGCCUGGGGCAUCAUCCACUGCUGAGGCAUCAUCCACUGCUGUGGCAUCAUCCACAGAUGGGCAUCAUCCAUGCCUGGAGCAUGAUCCACAGCUGGGACAUCAUCCACUGCUGGGGCCUCAUUUAUACCUGGGGCAUCAUCCACAGAUGGGCAUCAUCCACAAAUGAAGCAUCAUCCAUGCCUGGGGCAUCAUCCACUGCUUCAGCAUCAUCCACAGAUGGGCAUCAUCCACUGCUGUGGCAUCAUCCACACCUGGGACAUCAUCCACUGCUGCAGCAUCAUCCACAGAUGGGCAUCAUCCACUGCUGCGGCAUCAUCCACACCUGGGACAUCAUCCACUGCUGCAGCAUCAUCCACAGAUGGGCAUCAUCCACUCCUGGGGCAUCAUCCACUACUGCGGCAUCAUCCACAGAUGGACAUCAUCCACGCCUGGAGCAUCAUCCACUGCUGCGGCAUCAUCCACAGCUGGGGCAUCAUCCACUGCUACAGCAUCAUCCAUAACUGGGGCAUCAUCUACUGCUGGGGCAUCAUCCAUACCUGGGGCAUCCUCCACAGAUGGGCAUCAUCCACAAAUGAAGCAUCAUCCAUGCCUGGGGCAUCAUCCACUGCUGUGGCAUCAUCCACAGCUGGGGCAUCAUCCACGCCUGGGGCAUCCACUGAUGGAGCAUCUUCCAUGCCUGGGGCAUCAUCCACAACUGGGGCAUCAUCCACUGCUGGGGCAUCAUCCACAGAUGGACAUCAUCCACGCCUGGAGAAUCAUCCACUGCUGCGGCAUCAUCCACAGCUGGGGCAUCAUCCACUGCUACAGCAUCAUCCAUAACUGGGGCAUCAUCUACUGCUGGGGCAUCAUCCAUACCUGGGGCAUCCUCCACAGAUGGGCAUCAUCCACAAAUGAAGCAUCAUCCAUGCCUGGGGCAUCAUCCACUGCUGUGGCAUCAUCCACAGCUGGGGCAUCAUCCACGCCUGGGGCAUCCACUGAUGGAGCAUCUUCCAUGCCUGGGGCAUCAUCCACAACUGGGGCAUCAUCCACUGCUGGGGCAUCAUCCACAGAUGGGCAUCAUUCACACCUGGGGCAUCAUCCACUGCUGGGGUAUCAUCCACGCCUGGGGCAUCAUCCACUGCUGAGGCAUCAUCCACUGCUGUCGCAUCAUCCACAGACGGGCAUCAUCCACUCCUGGGGCAUCAUCCACUACUGCGGCAUCAUCCACAGAUGGGCAUCAUCUAUGCCUGGAGCAUCAUCCACUGCUGUGGCAUCAUCCACAGCUGGGGCAUCAUCCACGCCUGGGGCAUCCACUGCUGGAGCAUCUUCCAUGCCUGGGGCAUCAUCCAUACCUGGGGCAUCAUCCACAGAUGGGCAUCAUCCACAAAGGGGGCAUCAUUCAUGCCUGGGGCAUUAUCCAUUGCUGCAGCAUCAUCCACAGAUGGCAUCAUCCACUGCUGCGGCAUCAUCCAGAGCUGGGGCACCAUCCACACCUGGGGCAUCCACUGCUGGAGCAUCUUCCAUGCCUGGGGCAUCAUCCACAACUGGGGCAUCAUCCACUGCUGGGGCAUCAUCCAUGCCUGGGGCAUCAUCCACUGCUGAGGCAUCAUCCACUGCUAUGGCAUCAUCCACAGAUGGGCAUCAUCCACGCCUGGAGCAUGAUCCACUGCAGUGGCAUCCUCCACAGCUGGGGCAUCAUCCACUGCUGGGGCAUCAUCCAUGCCUGGGGCAUCAUCCACUGCUGCGGCAUCAUCCACACCUGGGACAUCAUCCAGUGCUACAGCAUCAUCCACAGAUGGGCAUCAUCCACUCCUGGGGCAUCAUCCACUGCUGUGGCAUCAUCCACAGACAGGCAUCACCCACUCCUGGGGCAUCAUCCACUGCUGUGGCAUCAUCCACUGCUGCAGCAUCAUAUAUAACUGGGGCAUCAUCCACUGCUGGGGCAUCAUCCACACCUUGGCAUCAUCCACAGCUGGGGCAUCAUCCAUGCCUGGGGCAUCAUCCACUGCUGAGGCAUCAUCCACAGAUGGGCAUCAUCCACUGCUGAGGCAUCAUCCACACCUGGGGCAUCAUCCACAGAUGGGCAUCAUCCACGCCUGGGCAUCAUCCACUGCUGGGGUAUCAUCCACACCUCUGGUAGCUCUGCAGGAAGGUUGCCCACCUCAAUCUUGCUUUCUCCAGGUUCCAGAGGCUCCCAUUUAAAGGAGCAUCUCUCCCCACUCUGCCUCACCCAACACCAGCUCUCCUGUACCUACUGGAUUUCUAAAUGCUUUCUUCCACCUUCACCUCAUUGGAUUCACGACUCUGAAAAAUAGUCAAAAAUUAUAAAAAGGUGGGAGCAGGGGUGAUCUGGAAAUCCCUGCUACAACAUUUUUAAAUGAAUCUACUGGAAACUAUUUACGUUUUAAAUAAAGCCAUCCCUUACUUA